UACGAAGGGAGCUAGCGUUGUUCGGAAUCACUGGGCGUAAAGCGCACGUAGGCGGAUGUGUCAGUCAGGGGUGAAAUCCCGGAGCUCAACUUCGGAACUGCCCUUGAUACAGCACGUCUUGAGUCCGGAAGAGGUGGGUGGAAUUCCUAGUGUAGAGGUGAAAUUCGUAGAUAUUAGGAAGAACACCAGUGGCGAAGGCGGCUCACUGGCCCGGUACUGACGCUGAGGCGCGAAAGCGUGGGGAGCAAACGGG
rnacentral:rRNA from 1 species